GGCCAUAUGGAUUUUCUCUCUCUACUCUAAACGAUUUUGGGUCUCAGAUGUUUGUACAAGCUAUCAAAAUAGGCAUACUUAGUCAACUGCACCAUCAAGGCCCUUUGGAUUAUUGGAUAGGUAAUAUAUAACUUGCAAUGCAAUAAACUUUCUGAGAAAGUACAAUAACAGAAACCUCCAGAUGCAUCAAUAAAAAGCACGAC
rnacentral:misc_RNA from 1 species